GGGCUGCAGUUAGGAAUAUUUUGCAAUGCGCGAAAGCGUGACAAAUUGAGCCAGAGUGUUUUUCUAUUUGAAAAACUUUUGUGAAAUUUAAAAAUUUUUACGAAUAAGGACUGGGUAAGACUAGUGCCAGCCGCCGCGGUAAUACUAGCGGUCCAAGUCGCAGCCACAUUUAUUGGGUCUAAAACAUCCGUAGCUUGCUUAGUAAGUUCUUUGUGAAAUUCUACCUCUUAAGGGUGGAGCGCGCAGAGAGUACUGUUAAGCUAGAGACUGGGAGACGUGGGAAGUAAGUUCAAAGUAGCGGUAAAAUGCUUUAAUCUUGGACAGACUAACAACAGCGAAGGCAUCCUACGAGAACAGUUCUGACAGUAAGGGAUGAAGGCUAGGGGCGCAAAAAGGAUUAGAUACCCUGGUAGUC
rnacentral:rRNA from 1 species